UGGAGUAUAGCCAAGUGGAAAGGCAUUGGUUUUUGAUACCAACAUUCAAAGGUUCGAAUCCUUUUACUCCAA
rnacentral:tRNA from 1 species